rnacentral:rRNA from 1 species
AUGUGGAUGUACUCAGGACCAGAAGACACCACUCGUGUCCGCCGGGAGGAGGUCGGAGAGCAAACGGUGGCCCGGUGGCUUUGGAGCAUCACUGGGAAUAAAGACAACCCGUGCGGGGCGAAGCGGAUCUUGCCAUUCCACUCUGAACAUCUUCCCGGAGAGGCGUUCACAAAUAUGUACUCGCCAGUGCCGAACAGAGAGCCACACCACGGGGAGAGCGAAGGCAGUGGCGACUUUGAGUAUGCAUACGACAACAGUGACGACGUCAGUGAUGACUCUGAUGACGAUGACAAAGUUGAGUCACCACCACACUCCGAGCGUCGAUCCAAGCAGACACAAGAGCCUGCGGCUGACCAUGGCAAGGCUGUGAGGUCGAGUGCGAAGACCCAGGAUCAUGCCCGGACGACCACUCCUGAGCCGAGUGAGAAGGUUGCCAAACAGUGGUGCCACUUCUCGAGCGUCCCAUAUGGAUGUUGA